CGGCUUGUGGUCCGGCCCUCCGAAGUCCGGGCUUGUGAAGUCCGGGCUGGAGAAGCUCGGGCGCGGGCCGGCGGUUGAGCCGCCGUCCGGACUGC
rnacentral:tRNA from 1 species